rnacentral:lncRNA from 1 species
GACUGCUGAGACGCAUAAAGAAAUCUUAGCUGGAAUGCCUUCUCAGAAUCUUGAUUUUCAAAGUGAUGGAUUGGGAGAUCCCAAGCCAUGAAUAAAGGGUGCUCAUCACAGAUGGAACAAUGGCGAGAGCACACCUGGACAGGGGAGGGGCAGGAGUUCUGAUUCCUGACACAGGUUUCCUGGUUGAAUGUUCUGUUGUAGAAGAAUGCAACUGAGUUUUCUAAACAGAUCUUCUUCUUGACAUCCUUGCUGAACGAAAGUGACCGGCCCUCUUUAAGACUCAGUGUGCUUACCUCUGAAAUGGAGCUGUCAAUCACAUCUGCCUCACAGGCUUGUUCUGAGGAUGAAGUGAGAAAAUGCCCACGAGGUGCUGGUUGCAGCAGCUGGUGCAUAGAGCUUAAAAAGGAUGCAGUCCCAAAACAUAGAAGGAUUUACUCCAGAUCCAAGCAAUGAGUCAGGAACAGAAAGCCUGAUGCCCUCACCUGGAACUCUCCCUCCUCCCUGGAUGAGGACCUUCCCCAGAAUUGCAGGGCACCCACACAAGACCAAGCAAGUUCAGAGAAAAUUGAAACCUGACUUUAGAGCCUCUGGGAUGUUCACUACACCUCAUUGAACCUGUUUGGUUCACAGAGCUCCAACUACCGUCUACUUCCUGCAACUGGCCUGCUGCCAACUCCCCAGAUCUCUUGUGGAGCUGCCGGAAGAGACAGCCUGCCACAGAAGAAAGCAGCCCUCCUCUUUCAUGGCCUCCCACAUCUUGAAACAAACACAAGCAAACAAAACAAAAGCUUGAGUCCCAGCCUGAUUCACCAGGUU